rnacentral:rRNA from 1 species
UACAGAGGGUGCAAGCGUUGUUCGGAAUUACUGGGCGUAAAGCGCGUGUAGGCGGCUUGAUAAGUCCUGUGUGAAAAGCCCUGGGCUCAACCCGGGAAUUGCGCUUGAGACUGGUGUGCUUGAGUACGGGAGAGGAUAGUGGAAUUCCCAGUGUAGAGGUGAAAUUCGUAGAUAUUGGGAAGAACACCGGUGGCGAAGGCGGCUAUCUGGACCGUAACUGACGCUGAGGCGCGAAAGCGUGGGGAGCAACAGG